rnacentral:rRNA from 1 species
GAGUUUGAUCCUGGCUCAGGAUGAACGCUGGCGGCGUGCCUAACACAUGCAAGUCGAGCGAUUUACUUCGGUAAAGAGCGGCGGACGGGUGAGUAACGCGUGGGUAACCUGCCCUAUACACACGGAUAACAUACCGAAAGGUAUGCUAAUACGAGAUAAUAUAAGAGAUUCACAUGGAUUUCUUAUCAAAGCUGAGGCGGUAUAGGAUGGACCCGCGUCUGAUUAGCUAGUUGGUAAGGUAACGGCUUACCAAGGCGACGAUCAGUAGCCGACCUGAGAGGGUGAUCGGCCACAUUGGAACUGAGACACGGUCCAAACUCCUACGGGAGGCAGCAGUGGGGAAUAUUGCACAAUGGGCGAAAGCCUGAUGCAGCAACGCCGCGUGAGUGAUGAAGGCCUUCGGGUCGUAAAACUCUGUCCUCAAGGAAGAUAAUGACGGUACUUGAGGAGGAAGCCCCGGCUAACUACGUGCCAGCAGCCGCGGUAAUACGUAGGGGGCUAGCGUUAUCCGGAUUUACUGGGCGUAAAGGGUGCGUAGGUGGUCUCUUAAGUCAGGAGUGAAAGGCUACGGCUUAACCGUAGUAAGCUCUUGAAACUGGGAGACUUGAGUGCAGGAGAGGAAAGAGGAAUUCCUAGUGUAGCGGUGAAAUGCGUAGA